rnacentral:rRNA from 1 species
CCUACGGGAGGCAGCAGUGAGGAAUAUUGGUCAAUGGACGCAAGUCUGAACCAGCCAUGCCGCGUGCAGGAAGACGGCUCUAUGAGUUGUAAACUGCUUUUGUACGAGGGUAAACGCAGAUACGCGUAUCUGUCUGAAAGUAUCGUACGAAUAAGGAACGGCUAACUCCGUGCCAGCAGCCGCGGUAAUACGGAGGAUUCAAGCGUUAUCCGGAUUUAUUGGGUUGAAGGGGUGCGUAGGCGGUCGGAUAAGUUAGAGGUGAAAUCCCGGGGCUCAACUUCGGAAUUGCCUCUGAUACUGUUCGGCUAGAGAGUAGUUGCGGGAGGCGGAAUGUAUGGUGUAGCGGUGAAAUGCUUAGAGAUCAUACAGAACACCGAUUGCGAAGGCAGCUUACCAAGCUACUUCUGACGUUGAGGCACGAAAGCGUGGGUAUCAAACAGGAUUAGAUACCCGGGUAGUC